UGGGGAAUAUUGCACAAUGGGCGGAAGCCUGAUGCAGCGACGCCGCGUGGGGGAUGAAGGCCUUCGGGUUGUAAACUCCUUUCGACAGGGACGAAGCUUUUGUGACGGUACCUGUAUAAGAAGCACCGGCUAACUACGUGCCAUCAGCCGCGGUAAUACGUAGGGUGCGAGCGUUGUCCGGAAUUACUGGGCGUAAAGAGCUCGUAGGUGGUUUGUCGCGUCGUCUGUGAAAUUCCGGGGCUUAACUCCGGGCGUGCAGGCGAUACGGGCUGACUUGAGUGCUGUAGGGGAGACUGGAAUUCCUGGUGUAGCGGUGAAAUGCGCAGAUAUCAGGAGGAACACCGAUGGCGAAGGCAGGUCUCUGGGCAGUAACUGACGCUGAGGAGCGAAAGCAUGGGUAGCGAACAGG
rnacentral:rRNA from 1 species